rnacentral:rRNA from 1 species
CCUACGGGUGGCAGCAGUGAGGAAUAUUGGACAAUGGGGGCAACCCUGAACCAGCGACGUCGCGUGCAUGAAGACGUCCCUCUGGAUUUUAAACUCCAUCUGUAGGGAAGUAAAUGACGUUACCUGAGUCGUAUUCCACGUCCAACUACGUUCCAGCAGCCGCAGUAAUAUGUAGGGAGCCGGCGUUAUCCGGAUUUACCGGGGGUAAUGGGAGCGUAGACGGCUGCACAAGUCUGGAGUGAAAUGCCGGGGCUUAACCGCGGAACUGCUGGGGAAACUGUGGAGCUAGAGUGCGCGGGAGGUAAGUGGAAUUCGUAGUGUAGCGGUGAAAUGCGUAGAUAUCACGAGGAACACCGGUGGCGAAGGCAGCUUACUGGAGUGUUACUGACGUUGAGGCUCGAAGGUGUGGGGAGCGAACAGGAUUAGAGACCCUAGUAGUC